rnacentral:rRNA from 1 species
AGAACGAACGCUGGCGGCAGGCUUAACACAUGCAAGUCGAACGCUCGUAGCAAUACGGGAGUGGCAGACGGGUGAGUAACGCGUGGGAACAUACCCUCCGGUUCGGAAUAGCUCAGGGAAACUUGGAUUAAUACCGGAUACGGCUGAGAGGCGAAAGAUUUAUCGCCGGAGGAUUGGCCCGCGUUCGAUUAGCUUGUUGGUGAGGUAACGGCUCACCAAGGCGAUGAUCGAUAGCUGGUCUGAGAGGAUGAUCAGCCACAUUGGGACUGAGACACGGCCCAAACUCCUACGGGAGGCAGCAGUGGGGAAUAUUGGACAAUGGGCGCAAGCCUGAUCCAGCCAUGCCGCGUGAGUGAUGACGGCCUUAGGGUUGUAAAGCUCUUUCGCUCGGGACGAUAAUGACGGUACCGAGAUAAGAAGCCCCGGCUAACUUCGUGCCAGCAGCCGC